rnacentral:ncRNA from 1 species
CAGUGGUAUGACGCUACGUCCGUUGGAUUAUGCCUGAACGCCUCUAAGGUCGUAUCCGUGCUGGACUGCAAUGAUAAAUAAGGGGCAAUUUGCAUUGUAUGGCUUCUAAACCAUUACAAGUUUUUAAUUUGUUUUAUUAACGACAAUGGAUGUGAUGCCAAUGUUAUUUAUAACAUAGUAAAUUGGGAGGAUCUUCGAUCACCUGAUGCCGCGCUAGUUAUAUUUUAAAACAUUAUUUAAUACAAUGUCAAAGCCUAGAAUCAAUUGUAAACGACUUUUGUAACAGGCAAGGUGUUGUAAGUGGUUGAGCAGCUGCCAUACUGCGAUCCACUGAAGCUUAUCCUUUGCUUGAUGAUUCGA